UAGUUUAUUCUUAUUGGGUACUGAAAUUCCAUUGUCUUUUACGUUAAACAGUUAAGUUCUCAUAAGAAUAUUUACCAAACUCCAAAAAAAACCCAAACAUGAAGUAUAUAAUAUUGUUAAUUUGCUUAAUGACACUAGGUUUGUUUACGACAAACACAUCCGGUAUUCCUGUAACUAUCGUUGAUACAUUUUUGACGUCACAUCAUGGAAAAGUGUUGACCGAACUAUCUAGAAGUCAUAAGGUUCACGAUUUGCUAGACAAAACAUUUCAUAAACUAGAAGAGACCAACGAUACACGAGAAGUGCAAAAAUCAAACUUUAGGCCCAUUCCGAGUGAGUCAGUUGCAAACCAAACCA